CUUCUCAAUAUGUAUGAUGUACCAGUUAAGACAAUCUUUUGCACUUUCUGUAUGAAUGGUAACCCAGGGAUCAUUCUUAAAUAAUUUUCAGUUCCUUUUUUGAUCAUUCCAAGUGUUCCUACAAUCACUGGCGUUGUAACUGUUUUGAGAUGCCAUCUUUGCUCCUACUACUGUGUGGUAUUAUUAAUGUUGAUUAGUUUUGACUUUUGUCCUGUACUUGAGAUAAUCAUAAAUAUGUGAGGAUUGGAGGAGAAAGUAGGAAAAAGAAGCAGCUUGAUCAAAUUCCACAGUGAUUGCAAAAGCAACAGAAGUUUUGACAAUUAUGGGUUUAACCCUGUUGAUACCAACCCCACUGAAACCACUUCUGGCUCUCUUUGGUAAUGAGUGGUGAAAAAAAUGCCAUCAGAGACAUUUUAUGCUACCUGAAAAAAGAUAAAAAAGAAAGAAACUGAGUGUAUGGGUAGUAGCAAAAGCAAUUGAUAAUGCUAACGAAUGUGUGACACAAAACUGGUUCAGAUGUUUCAAGGAAGGUGACACCAGCCUCGAAGACAAACAAUGGGGAUGAAAAAUGGACCUAUUUGCAUAAUCCUAAUAAGAGAAAUUAGUGGCUUCAUUCCAGCUAGACUUCAGUAACUGUUGUCAAACAUGGGUGGCUUGAACAGAAGGUCAUCUUAUGUGUUUGUUGGAAUUUUGAGGGGAUAUUGCGCUUUGAACUUGUUCUAGAUGGUCAUGUUGUGAACACUAACCUUUAUACUCAACAACUGCAGUGAGUGUAUGAUGCUGUGAAAGCUAGCAUUGGUUAGUUGAAGAUGCACACUCCUACAGAAUGGCAAUGCUCCAGCACACAGUGCAAUGUGACUAAGUGCAAAUUUGAGGGAGUUGGAAAGCUGGAAGUGCCAUGUCACUCUGCCUACAAUGCAGACUUUUCACCAUCAUAUUACCAUCCUUUUGGAGCCAUGGCUCAUUUCCUACAUGGACAGAGGUUCAACAAUGUGAAUGAGGUUGAAAUUGGAUUCAGGGUGUUUUUUUCUUCUAAACCAGUGAAAUGGUACUAGUGUGAAAUUAAGCUUCUGGCACUACAAUGGCAACAAACAAUAAAGUAUGAUAGGAUAUAUUUUUACGAAUAAAUGCUUUACAUCCA